rnacentral:rRNA from 1 species
UGCAAUGCGGCGUGCUAUACAUGCAGUCGAGCGGACAGAUGGGAGCUUGCUCCCUGAUGUUAGCGGCGGACGGGUGAGUAACACGUGGGUAACCUGCCUGUAAGACUGGGAUAACUCCGGGAAACCGGGGCUAAUACCGGAUGCUUGUUUGAACCGCAUGGUUCAGACAUAAAAGGUGGCUUCGGCUACCACUUACAGAUGGACCCGCGGCGCAUUAGCUAGUUGGUGAGGUAACGGCUCACCAAGGCAACGAUGCGUAGCCGACCUGAGAGGGUGAUCGGCCACACUGGGACUGAGACACGGCCCAGACUCCUACGGGAGGCAGCAGUAGGGAAUCUUCCGCAAUGGACGAAAGUCUGACGGAGCAACGCCGCGUGAGUGAUGAAGGUUUUCGGAUCGUAAAGCUCUGUUGUUAGGGAAGAACAAGUGCCGUUCAAAUAGGGCGGCACCUUGACGGUACCUAACCAGAAAGCCACGGCUAACUACGUGCCAGCAGCCGCGGUAAUACGUAGGUGGCAAGCGUUGUCCGGAAUUAUUGGGCGUAAAGGGCUCGCAGGCGGUUUCUUAAGUCUGAUGUGAAAGCCCCCGGCUCAACCGGGGAGGGUCAUUGGAAACUGGGGAACUUGAGUGCAGAAGAGGAGAGUGGAAUUCCACGUGUAGCGGUGAAAUGCGUAGAGAUGUGGAGGAACACCAGUGGCGAAGGCGACUCUCUGGUCUGUAACUGACGCUGAGGAGCGAAAGCGUGGGGAGCGAACAGGAUUAGAUACCCUGGUAGUCCACGCCGUAAACGAUGAGUGCUAAGUGUUAGGGGGUUUCCGCCCCUUAGUGCUGCAGCUAACGCAUUAAGCACUCCGCCUGGGGAGUACGGUCGCAAGACUGAAACUCAAAGGAAUUGACGGGGGCCCGCACAAGCGGUGGAGCAUGUGGUUUAAUUCGAAGCAACGCGAAGAACCUUACCAGGUCUUGACAUCCUCUGACAAUCCUAGAGAUAGGACGUCCCCUUCGGGGGCAGAGAUGACAGGUGGUGCAUGGUUGUCGUCAGCUCGUGUCGUGAGAUGUUGGGUUAAGUCCCGCAACGAGCGCAACCCUUGAUCUUAGUUGCCAGCAUUCAGUUGGGCACUCUAAGGUGACUGCCGGUGACAAACCGGAGGAAGGUGGGGAUGACGUC